rnacentral:piRNA from 1 species
UGACCUCGCUUUGUGUGAUCACUCCCACAA